ACCCCGGUAGCUCAGGUGGAUAGAGCAACUGCCUUCUAAGCAGUAGGUCACGCGUUCGAGUCGCGUCCGGGGUGCCA
rnacentral:tRNA from 1 species